rnacentral:lncRNA from 1 species
AAGAAAGUGAUCAUACACCAACCUUCCAGAUCGAUCACCAUUCUCGUGAUGAUCCUAUGGUCAGGAGCUGUUUAUGAGUUAGUUAUGUAAAUUGAUGCCUUAAAUUUUUAACUCUUGAAAAUAUGAAUUAACAUUCCUACUAACUCAAAGAAUGUAUCACAGACAUAAUGUACAUAAUGUGAUAGCAGAAUAACCAUUUUAUUCAUUUAUAGUCAAAAUUAUAAAUUUGCCCUUAGAUUUGUAUAGGAUUGUGUCAGCCAAUAU